rnacentral:misc_RNA from 1 species
CGGGUGUUUGUCCAUAGAAUUUAUAUUAAGAAAUGGCAAAGUUGGAAAAAGUGGUUCCUCAUCAUUAACCUCUUCGAUUGGAGGUGCCUGGCCACUGAGAAGAUUCACUAAAAACUAAACUUGCACGAUAGGGGUUUAAGGUCCUCAGUUGAAUUGAUUGAUACGAUUUCAGAUUGCAAAACAUGUGGAUCCAUGUCACCACACUGAAAGAAGCAAGGGCGAGGGGAGUAGAAGAGCCUAUGCAAUUGGCUAGUGCUAUACCAAGCAUGAUGCCUAUAAACUUGCUCACCAUUCCUUGAGCUUCACCCUUUGCAAUUACCUCAGCAAA